GUUUGGGCUCAUAACAAAUUAAAAGUUGCUCCUGCUACUCAGCCUAGAGCCUUGAGCAUUAUACAAGGACGUGCUGUAGGAGUAACCCAUUACCUUCUGGGUGGAAUUGCCACAACAUGGGCAUUCUUCUUAGCGAGAAUUAUUGCAGUAGGAUAGUGGCUAGGAGGAUUUGAAAGGCAUUAUGGAAUUAAGAUUUCCCAGGUUUAGCCAAGGCUUAGCUCAGGACCCCACUACUCGUCGUAUUUGGUUUGGUAUUGCUACCGCACAUGAUUUCGAAAGUCAUGAUGAUAUUACUGAGGAACGUCUUUAUCAGAACAUUUUUGCUUCUCACUUUGGGCAGUUAGCAAUAAUCUUUCUAUGGACGUCCGGAAAUCUGUUUCAUGUAGCUUGGCAAGGAAAUUUUGAAUCAUGGAUACAGGAUCCUUUACACGUAAGACCUAUUGCUCAUGCCAUUUGGGAUCCUCAUUUUGGGCAACCCGCUGUGGAAGCCUUUACUCGAGGAGGUGCUGCCGGUCCAGUGAAUAUCGCUUAUUCUGGGGCUUAUCAGUGGUGG
rnacentral:misc_RNA from 1 species